rnacentral:rRNA from 1 species
UACGUAGGGUCCGAGCGUUGUCCGGAAUUACUGGGCGUAAAGAGCUCGUAGGUGGUUUGUCGCGUUGUUCGUGAAAACUCACAGCUUAACUGUGGGCGUGCGGGCGAUACGGGCAGACUUGAGUACUGCAGGGGAGACUGGAAUUCCUGGUGUAGCGGUGGAAUGCGCAGAUAUCAGGAGGAACACCGGUGGCGAAGGCGGGUCUCUGGGCAGUAACUGACGCUGGAGGAGCGAAAGCAUGGGGAGCGAACAGG